rnacentral:rRNA from 1 species
GAUGAACGCUAGCGGCAGGCUUAAUACAUGCAAGUCGAGGGGCAGCAGUUUUGUAGCAAUACAGAAGCUGGCGACCGGCAAACGGGUGCGGAACACGUACGCAACCUUCCUUUAACUGGAAGAUAGCCCACCGAAAGGUGGAUUAAUACUCCAUAACAUAUUGAAGAGGCAUCUCUUUGAUAUUAAAGCUCCGGCGGUUAAAGAUGGGCGUGCGUCUGAUUAGGUAGUUGGCGGGGUAACGGCCCACCAAGCCUUCGAUCAGUAGCUGAUGGGAGAGCAUGAUCAGCCACACGGGCACUGAGACACGGGCCCGACUCCUACGGGAGGCAGCAGUAAGGAAUAUUGGUCAAUGGACGCAAGUCUGAACCAGCCAUGCCGCGUGGAGGAUGAAGGCCCUCUGGGUUGUAAACUUCUUUUCUUUGGGACGAAACCCCUGUUUCUACGGGGACUGACGGUACCAGAGGAAUAAGCACCGGCUAACUCCGUGCCAGCCGCCGCAGUAAAAC